rnacentral:rRNA from 1 species
AAAAUCCGGGAUCACUUACGCCGAGCACCGAGACGAGUCCUAUGAGGACGAAGUGACUGACACCACGCUUCCAGGAAAAGCCACUAAGCUUCAGCUUAAGAAAAACCGUACCGCAAACCGACACAGGUAGGCAGGGUGAGAAUCCCAAGGCGCUUGAGAGAACUCGGGUGAAGGAACUAGGCAAAAUGGCACCGUAACUUCGGGAGAAGGUGCGCCCUUUGGUGUGGUCACGUGCGUGACUGAGCAUCGAAGGGUCGCAGUAACCUGGCCGCUGCGACUGUUUAUCAAAAACACAGCACUCCGCAAACACGAAAGUGGACGUAUAGGGUGUGACGCCUGCCCGGUGCUGGAAGGUUAAUUGAUGGGGUCAGCCGCAAGGCGAAGCUCUUGAUCGAAGCCCCAGUAAACGGCGGCCGUAACGAUAACGGUCCUAAGGUAGCGAAAUUCCUUGUCGGGUAAGUUCCGACCUGCACGAAUGGCGUAACGACAGCGGCGCUGUCUCCACCCGAGACUCAGUGAAAUUGAAAUCGCUGUGAAGAUGCAGCGUUCCCGCGGCAAGACGGAAAGACCCCGUGAACCUUUACUAUAGCUUUACACUGAACGUUGAGUUCUUCUGUGUAGGAUAGGUGGGAGGCUAUGAAACCAGGACGCUAGUUCUGGUGGAGCCAUCCUUGAAAUACCACCCUGAAGUGCUUGACGUUCUAACCUAGGCCCGUAAUCCGGGUCAGGGACCGUGUAUGGUGGGUAGUUUGACUGGGGCGGUCUCCUCCCAAAGAGUAACGGAGGAGCACGAAGGUACGCUCAGCGCGGUCGGACAUCGCGCACUGUGUGCAAAGGCAUAAGCGUGCUUGACUGCGAGAUCGACGGAUCAAGCAGGUACGAAAGUAGGUCUUAGUGAUCCGGUGGUUCUGUAUGGAAGGGCCAUCGCUCAACGGAUAAAAGGUACUCCGGGGAUAACAGGCUGAUACCGCCCAAGAGUUCAUAUCGACGGCGGUGUUUGGCACCUCGAUGUCGGCUCAUCACAUCCUGGGGCUGUAGCCGGUCCCAAGGGUAUGGCUGUUCGCCAUUUAAAGUGGUACGCGAGCUGGGUUCAGAACGUCGUGAGACAGUUCGGUCCCUAUCUGUCGUGGGCGUUGGAGAUUUGAGGGGGGCUGCUCCUAGUACGAGAGGACCGGAGUGGACGUUCCGCUGGUGUUCGGGUUGUCAUGCCCAUGGCAUUGCCCGGUAGCUACGAACGGAAGUGAUAACCGCUGAAAGCAUCUAAGCGGGAAGCACGCCCCAAGAUGAGAUCUCCCGAGAGCUUGACUCUCCUAAAGGCACCAUCAAGACUAGGUGGUUGAUAGGUCAGGUGUGGAAGCGCAGCAAUGCGUUGAGCUAACUGAUACUAAUGAGCCGUGAGGCUUGAUC